UGUGAAAUACCAUGGGUUAAGGGGUGGAAUAAGAGGUCUUUAACAAGUGGAAGGACUCUUCCUCUACUAGAAAAAAUCAGAACACCAAAAUAUGGCAUGUGGAAAGGGAGAACGCAUGAAAUACCAAGAGUCCAUUAAAUUAAGGACUCUUCCAUAUCUCAUCGCACAAAAGGAGCAUCCCAUUUAUUUUGACAUUCAAGGUCCUUGCC
rnacentral:lncRNA from 1 species